rnacentral:rRNA from 1 species
AGAACGAACGCUGGCGGCAGGCCUAAUACAUGCAAGUCGAGCGGGCGUAGCAAUACGUCAGCGGCGGACGGGUGAGUAACACGUGGGAACAUGCCCUUCGGUACGGAACAACUCAGGGAAACUUGAGCUAAUACCGUAUGAUCCGGCAACGGCAAAGAUUUAUCGCCGGAGGAUUGGCCCGCGUCCGAUUAGCUAGUUGGUGAGGUAACGGCCCACCAAGGCACCGAUCGGUAGCUGGUUUGAGAGAACGACCAGCCACACUGGGACUGAGACACGGCCCAGACUCCUACGGGAGGCAGCAGUAGGGAAUCUUGGACAAUGGGGGAAACCCUGAUCCAGCCAUGCCGCGUGAGUGAUGAGGCCUUCGGGUUGUAAAACUCUUUCGACGGGACGAUAAUGACGGUACCGUAGAAGAAGCUCCGGCUAACUUCGUGCCAGCAGCCGC